rnacentral:rRNA from 1 species
UAGGGAAUAUUGCACAAUGGGGGAAACCCUGAUGCAGCGACGCCGCGUGAAGGAAGAAGUAUCUCGGUAUGUAAACUUCUAUCAGCAGGGAAGACAAUGACGGUACCUGACUAAGAAGCCCCGGCUAACUACGUGCCAGCAGCCGCGGUAAUACGUAGGGGGCAAGCGUUAUCCGGAUUUACUGGGUGUAAAGGGAGCGUAGACGGAUCUGCAAGUCUGGAGUGAAAGCCCGGGGCUCAACCCCGGGAGCUGCUUUGGAAACUGUGGAUCUAGAGUGCCGGAGAGGUAAGCGGAAUUCCUAGUGUAGCGGUGAAAUGCGUAGAUAUUAGGAGGAACACCAGUGGCGAAGGCGGCUUACUGGACGGUAACUGACGUUGAGGCUCGAAAGCGUGGGGAGCAAACAGGAUUAGAUACC